rnacentral:rRNA from 1 species
UACGUAGGGUGCAAGCGUUAAUCGGAAUUACUGGGCGUAAAGCGUGCGCAGGCGGUUCGCUAAGACAGAUGUGAAAUCCCCGGGCUCAACCUGGGAACUGCAUCUGUGACUGCAUAGCUAGAGUACGGUAGAGGGGGAUGGAAUUCCGCGUGUAGCAGUGAAAUGCGUAGAUAUGCGGAGGAACACCGAUGGCGAAGGCAAUCCCCUGGACCUGUACUGACGCUCAUGCACGAAAGCGUGGGGAGCAAACAGG